rnacentral:rRNA from 1 species
GACACGGUCCAGACUCCUACGGGAGGCAGCAGUAGGGAAUCUUCCGCAAUGGGCGAAAGCCUGACGGAGCAACGCCGCGUGAGUGAUGAAGGUUUUCGGAUCGUAAAACUCUGUUAUUAGGGAAGAACAAAUGCGUAAGUAACUGUGCGCAUCUUGACGGUACCUAAUCAGAAAGCCACGGCUAACUACGUGCCAGCAGCCGCGGUAAUACGUAGGUGGCAAGCGUUAUCCGGAAUUAUUGGGCGUAAAGCGCGCGUAGGCGGUUUCUUAAGUCUGAUGUGAAAGCCCACGGCUCAACC